CCUACGGGGGGCUGCAGUGAGGAAUAUUGGUCAAUGGACGGAAGUCUGAACCAGCCAUGCCGCGUGCAGGAAGACGGCUCUAUGAGUUGUAAACUGCUUUUGUACAAGGGUAAACCUGAAUACGUGUAUUCAGCUGAAAGUACUGUACGAAUAAGGAUCGGCUAACUCCGUGCCAGCAGCCGCGGUAAUACGGAGGAUCCAAGCGUUAUCGGGAUUUAUUGGGUUUAAAGGGUGCGUAGGCGGAUUGAUAAGUUAGAGGUGAAAUGUCCGAGCUUAACUCGGGAACUGCCGCUACUACUGUUGAUCUAGAGAGUAGAUGCGGUAGGCGGAAUGUAUGGUGUAGCGGGGAAAUGCUUAGAGAUCAUACAGAACACCGAUUGCGAAGGCAGCUUACCAAUCUAUAUCUGACGUUGAGGCACGAAAGCGUGGGGAGCAAACAGGAUUAGAUACCCUUGUAGUC
rnacentral:rRNA from 1 species